UGACCGAUAGCGUAUAGUACCGUGAGGGAAAGGUGAAAAGAACCCCGGGAGGGGAGUGAAAUAGAACCUGAAACCCUGCACUUACAAGCUGUGGAAGCACAUUUCUUGUGUGACCGCGUACUUUUUGUAGAACGGGCCAACGAGUUACGUUAAGUAGCAAGGUUAAGCACUUAAGGUGCGGAGCCGUAGCGAAAGCGAGUUUUAACUGAGCGUUCAGUUACUUGACGUAGACCCGAAACCGGGCGACCUACCCAUGAGCAGGAUGAAGCGAAAGUAAAAUUUCGUGGAGGUCCGAACCCACGAGCGUUGAAAAGCUCGGGGAUGACUUGUGGGUAGCGGUGAAAUUCCAAUCGAGCCCGGAGAUAGCUGGUUCUCCCCGAAAUAGCUUUAGGGCUAGCCUCAAGGUGAGAGAUACGGAGGUAGAGCACUGAAUGUCCUAGGGGGUAUUGCACCUACCGAAGACUAUCAAACUCCGAAUGCCGUCAUCUUAUACUUGGGAGUCAGACUGUGGGUGAUAAGAUUCAUAGUCGAAAGGGCAACAGCCCAGAUCGUCAGCUAAGGUCCCUAAAUGUAAGUUAAGUGGUAAAGGAUGUGGGAUUGCACAGACAACCAGGAUGUUGGCUUAGAAGCAGCCACUCAUUCAAAGAGUGCGUAAUAGCUCACUGGUCGAGUGAUCCUGCGCCGAAGAUUUCCGGGGCUAAAACUUACUACCGAAGCUACGGCAUCAGUAAUGAUGGGUAGGGGAGCUUCCCAUACGGGUUGAAGCAUGACCGUAAGGACAUGUGGACAGUAUGGGAGUGAGAAUGUUGGCAUGAGUAGCGAGAUGUGGGUGAGAAUCCCACAGGCCGUAAACCCAAGGUUUCCAGGGGAAGGUUCGUCCGCCCUGGGUUAGUCGGGACCUAAGCUGAGGCCGAAAGGCGUAGGUGAUGGACAACAGGUUGAUAUUCCUGUACUACCGAUAACCGUUUGAGAGAAGGGAUGACACAGUAGGAUAAGCUAAGCACACUGUUGGUUAUGUGUGCCCAAGCAUUGAGGCAGUCAAAGUAGGCAAAUCCGCUUUGAUAAUGCUGGGAUGUGAUGGGGAGCGAAAUUUAGUAGCGAAGUAGCUGAUUUCACACUGUCAAGAAAAGUCUCUAUCGAGGUUAAAGGUACCCGUACCGCAAACCGACACAGGUGGGUGAGGAGAGUAUCCUAAGGCCAGCGAGAGAACUGUUGUUAAGGAACUCGGCAAAAUGACCCCGUAACUUAGGGAUAAGGGGUGCCACCAUCAGGUGGCCGCAGAGAAUAGGCCCAAGCGACUGUUUACCAAAAACAUAGGUUUCUGCUAAGUCGCAAGACGAUGUAUAGGAGCUGACGCCUGCCCGGUGCUGGAAGGUUAAGGGGAUCUGUUAGAGCAAUCGAAGCAGUGAACUUAAGCCCCAGUAAACGGCGGCCGUAACUAUAACGGUCCUAAGGUAGCGAAAUUCCUUGUCGGGUAAGUUCCGACCCGCACGAAAGGCGUAACGAUUUGGGCACUGUCUCAACAACAGACUCGGUGAAAUUGUAAUUCCGGUGAAGAUGCCGGAUACCUGCGACAGGACGGAAAGACCCCAUGGAGCUUUACUGUAGCUUGACAUUGGGUCUUGGUACUACAUGUACAGGAUAGGUGGGAGGCUUUGAAACCAGGACGCCAGUUUUGGCGGAGCCAUCCUUGGGAUACCACCCUUGUAGUACUGGGACUCUAACCAUAGGCCAUGAAUCUGGUCUUGGGACACUGUCAGGUGGGCAGUUUGACUGGGGCGGUCGCCUCCCAAAAGGUAACGGAGGCGCUCAAAGGUUCUCUCAGUACGGUCGGAAAUCGUACGUAGAGUGUAAAGGCAAAAGAGAGCUUGAUUGCAAGACAUACAGGUCGAGCAAGGAUGAAAAUCGGACUUAGUGAUCCGGUGGUUCUGCGUGGAAGGGCCAUCGCUCAACGGAUAAAAGCUACCCUGGGGAUAACAGGCUUAUCUCCCCCAAGAGUCCACAUCGACGGGGAGGUUUGGCACCUCGAUGUCGGCUCAUCACAUCCUGGGGCUGUAGUAGGUCCCAAGGGUUGGGCUGUUCGCCCAUUAAAGUGGUACGCGAGCUGGGUUCAGAACGUCGUGAGACAGUUCGGUCCCUAUCCGUCGCAGGCGUAGGAAAUUUGAGAAGACCUGUCCUUAGUACGAGAGGACCGGGAUGGACGUACCUCUGGUGUACCAGUUGUCCUGCCAAGGGCAUGGCUGGGUAGCUAUGUACGGAAUGGAUAAGCGCUGAAAGCAUCUAAGCGCGAAGCCAACUUCAAGAUAAGAUUUCCCACCGCAAGGGUAAGACCCCAGAAAGACUAUCUGGUUGAUAGGUCGAAGGUGUAAGUGCAGCAAUGUAUUUAGCUUAUCGAUACUAAUAGGUCGAGGACUUGACCAA
rnacentral:rRNA from 1 species